rnacentral:rRNA from 1 species
GGAUGGAGGAAUCAUUACGCGGGCCUCUGGGCUACGCUCGGCGAUGCGGCCAUUGUGAAGAAGCUUCUCGACACCGUGCUGGACCGGCUAUAUGCAGCGGUGGCUGGAAUCAAGCUGUUCUGCGACGUCGAUUCGAUGCCGUUCGAGGAGGCACUCGGGUGGCUGAAGGCGUUCGACGAGCGGACGUGGCGGCGCACCCAUGACAAUGGUGGAUGUGGCGGCAAUCAGCUCCUGCUAAAUGCGGCUCAGUGGGUAGGACGGAGGCAACAUCAAGGCGGCGGGUUCGACGACAACGGUGGCAGCACAACAUCGGUCAGCGGAGAGAGGCGGCGCAGCCGGUGCUACAACAGCGGCUAG